AUGUGUCGCCCCCUUUCGCUCCUUGGCCUCUUCCUCAUCCUGACGCCGCUGCUGUGUGGGUGCACCGACGGCGGGUUCAGCGUAGAGCUCAUCCACCGGGACUCCCCCAGGUCUCCGUUCCACGACCCAUCCCUCACCCCGCGCGCCCGCCUGCUUGCCGCCGUGCGGCGCUCGUACGCCGGCUCAGACUCUUCUGACACUGACGGCGCGGUGUCAGAGGUGAUCUCAGGCACGUUCCAGUUCUUCAUGUACGUCAACGUCGGCACGCCGCGCACCCGGAUGCUGGCCCUCGUCGACACCGGCAGCGACCUCGUGUGGCUCAGAUGCACCAACGGUUCUGCUUCUCCGGCAGCAGCCGGCGGGACGAGCAGCGUGUUCGACAUCUCCUCCUCGUCAACCUACGGCCGCGUGGGCUGCCAGUCCGACUCGUGCCACUCGGUCCACGGCACCUCCUGCGACGCCACCUCCUUCUGCCAGUACAGCUACUCGUAUGUCGGCGGCUCGAACAGCAGCGGCCUCGUGGCCACCGAGACCUUCACCUUCGACGACGCCCCCGGUGGGUGCACGGGGUGCCGCGAGCGUCGGCAGCUGCAAGUGCCCAGAGUCAACUUCGGGUGCGCCACCACCGCCAACUUCCCCGGCUACGGCAUCGUCGGCCUCUCGGACGGGAAAUCUUCCCUGAUCAACCAGAUGAGCGCCGCGACGUCGCUGGGCCGGAGGUUCUCCUACUGCCUCACGCCCUACUUAAGCGACGUGUCCUCCGCGCUCAACUUCGGGUCCCGCGCCACCGUGACGGAGCCGGGCGCGGUGACCACGCCGAUGGUGCACUCCCCCGUGCACGUGGAGGCUUUCUACACCGUCGAAAUCGUGGCCCUCAGGGUCGGGAGCUCGAUCAUCAAACCGCCGAAGCGGUCCCCCGUCAUCGUCGACUCCGGGUCGCUGCUGACGUCCCUCGACAAGGAGCUGCUGGACCCCAUCGUGGAGGCGCUCACCGGGAGCAUCAAGCUCCCGCGCAAGCCGCCGCCGUCGCCGAACCCGGAGCUGUUUUCGGUGUGCUACGAGGCGGACGGCAUGAAGGCGCUGGAGAAGGUUUUCCCGGACGUGACGUUGGAGCUGGGCGGGGGCGCCUUGCUCACGCUCAAGGCGGAGAACUUGUUCAUGGACCUUCUGCUACGGACCGUGUGCUUGGCCGUGGUGCCGGUGACGUAUGAGGGGUCGGUGCCGACGAUCGGCAGCAUCAUGCAGCAGAACAUGCACGUCGGCUACGACCUCGACAAGCGCACCAUCACCUUCGCCCCUGCCGACUGCGCCACCUCCUACCCCUCUCCUCCCGCCCUCUGUUGUGUAGCUAUCUAG
rnacentral:rRNA from 1 species